CAGUCGCCGCGGGAAUACGAAGGGGGCUAGCGUUGUUCGGAUUUACUGGGCGUAAAGCGCACGUAGGCGGAUCGAUCAGUCAGGGGUGAAAUCCCAGAGCUCAACUCUGGAACUGCCUUUGAUACUGUCGAUCUGGAGUAUGGAAGAGGUGAGUGGAAUUCCGAGUGUAGAGGUGAAAUUCGUAGAUAUUCGGAGGAACACCAGUGGCGAAGGCGGCUCACUGGUCCAUUACUGACGCUGAGGUGCGAAAGCGUGGGGAGCAAACAGGAUUAGAUACCCGGGUAGUCCCUGUCUCUUAUAA
rnacentral:rRNA from 1 species